rnacentral:lncRNA from 1 species
UUUACCUGCUGAUGUAAUUGACAUUUUGGUUAUUAAACCUUUUAAUUCAUGUUCUUUUUCCUCCCCACUUUCAGUCUUCAUGAACAGCAAGCUGAUAAUCAGGACUUCAAUGACUCUUCAAAGCCAGAGAAGCUAGCAUAUGAGGACCUUGAAGAAAAUAAUUCUUCUCUUAAGUAUCAAGGGGACAUUCCAGAGCAGCUCGAAAGUGAUGUGUCACAUCCAUCUGGAGACAGCGUCAAUGGGAGCAAUGUCACAAACGCUGUGCCAGCAACAGCCACUUCACAGCAGGAUUUAAUGGUUGAUCAAAGCCAGUCUGAAGAACAGAAAAGAGAAGAGAAUGAGAAAAAAUGGGAAGAAGAAAGGAGAGAAAAAGACGAAAGAAGGCAAAGAGAAAGGCAGGAAGUGCUGGAAAGAGAGGAAAGAGAACUAGAAAAACUGAAUGAAGAAAUGGUGUGUAACAUUUUAAUUUCUGACAGGAAUGCAACUUUGUUAUACCAUAUAAUUUAAACCAAAUAAG